AAUAGAUACCCUGGUAGUCCACGCCGUAAACGAUGAGUGACUAAGUGUUAGAGGGUUUCCGCCCUUUAGUGCUGAAGUUAACGCAUUAAGCACUCCGCCUGGGGAGUACGGCCGCAAGGCUGAAACUCAAAGGAAUUGACGGGGGCCCGCACAAGCGGUGGAGCAUGUGGUUUAAUUCGAAGCAACGCGAAGAACCUUACCAGGUCUUGACAUCCUCUGACAACCCUAGAGAUAGGGCUUCUCCUUCGGGAGCAGAGUGACAGGUGGUGCAUGGUUGUCGUCAGCUCGUGUCGUGAGAUGUUGGGUUAAGUCCCGCAACGAGCGCAACCCUUGAUCUUAGUUACCAUCAUUAAGUUGGGCACUCUAAGGUGACUGCCGGUGACAAACCGGAGGAAGGUGGGGAUGACGUCAAAUCAUCAUGCCCCUUAUGACCUGGGCUACACACGUGCUACAAUGGACGGUACAAAGAGCUGCAAGACCGCGAGGUGGAGCUAAUCUCAUAAAACCGUUCUCAGUUCGGAUUGUAGG
rnacentral:rRNA from 1 species